GGCCCAGAUCGUUUACCGUGAAAAAAUUAGAGUGUUCAAAGCAGGCAGAUCCAAUUUUCUGCCACCGAAUACAUUAGCAUGGGAUAAUGGAAUAGGACCCUGUCCUCCUAUUUUCAGUUGGUUUUGGCAGCGCGAGGACUAGGGUAAUGAUUAAUAGGGAUAGUUGGGGGCAUUAAUAUUUAAUUGUCAGAGGUGAAAUUCUUGGACUUAUGAAAGAUUAACUUCUGCGAAAGCAUCUGCCAAGGAUGUUUUCAUUAAUCAAGAACGAAAGUUAGGGGAUCGAAGACGAUCAGAUACCGUCGUAGUCUUAACCAUAAACGAUGCCGACCAGCGAUUAGGAGACGUUGAAUACAAAAUACCACCAUCGGUGCGGUCGUCCUUGGCGUCGGUUUCGGCCGGCGCGGGGGCGGCUUAGCCCGGUGGCACCGGUGAAUGACUCCCCUAGCAGCUUGUGAGA
rnacentral:rRNA from 1 species